UGAGUGGCGGAACGGGUGAGUAACACGUGAGUAACCUGCCCUCUUCUUUGGGAUAACGCCCGGAAACGGGUGCUAAUACUGGAUAUUCACUGAUCUUCGCAUGGGGGUUGGUGGAAAGGUUUUUUCUGGUGGGGGAUGGGCUCGCGGCCUAUCAGCUUGUUGGUGGGGUGAUGGCCUACCAAGGCUUUGACGGGUAGCCGGCCUGAGAGGGUGACCGGUCACAUUGGGACUGAGAUACGGCCCAG
rnacentral:rRNA from 1 species